UACAGAGACUGCAAGCGUUAUUCGGAUUCACUGGGCGUAAGGGUGCGCAGGCGGCCAAGUGUGUUAGGCGUGAAAGCCUGGGGCUUAACCCCAGAAUUGCACCUAAAACUACAUGGCUAGAGCAUUGGAGAGGGUAGCGGAAUUCACGGUGUAGCAGUGAAAUGCGUAGAUAUCGUGAGGAACACCAGAGGCGAAGGCGGCUACCUGGACAAUUGCUGACGCUCAGGCACGAAAGCGUGGGGAGCAAAAGGG
rnacentral:rRNA from 1 species